rnacentral:tRNA from 1 species
GGGUGCGUAGCUCAGUUGGUAGAGCAUAAGGCUUUUAACUUUCAGGUCGCGGGUUCAAGUCCUGCCGCACUCA